rnacentral:rRNA from 1 species
CAUGCCAAUGGCACUGCCCGGUAGCUAAAUGCGGAAGAGAUAAGUGCUGAAAGCAUCUAAGCACGAAACUUGCCCCGAGAUGAGUUCUCCCUGAGACUUUAAGUCUCCUGAAGGAACGUUAAAGACGAUGACGUUGAUAGGUCGGGUGUGUAAGCGCAGCGAUGCGUUGAGCUAACCGAUACUAAUGAACCGUGAGGCUUAACCUUACAACGCCGAAG